GUACUGAAACACACAUCUGAAGGAGGAUUUAGCAGUAAGCUGGAAAUAGAGCGUCCCGCUGAAACUGGCCCUGAAGCGCGCACACACCGCCCGUCACUCUCCCCAAAAGCCCCAGUCAGUUAACUAAAACCUAAUAAUCAAUAAAGGGGAGGCAAGUCGUAACAUGGUAAGUGUACCGGAAGGUGCACUUGGUAAAAUC
rnacentral:rRNA from 1 species